rnacentral:lncRNA from 10 species
CGCGGCUCUGCAGGUUGUACAGGAAGCGUGGUGCUGGCAUCUGCUCAGCUUCUGGGAAGGCCUCAGGGAGCUUUUCCACUCAUGGCGGAAGGUGAAGAGGGAGCAGGCACAUAACAUGUCGAAAGCAGGAGCAAGAGAGAGAGGACGGGAGGUGCCACACACUUCUAUUUUUUUAUUUUAUUAUUAUUAAAUUUUUGAGAUGGAGUUUCCCUCUGUCACCCAGGCUGGAGUGCAGUGACACCAUUUUGGCUCACUGCAACCUUCACCUCCUGGGUUCAACUCCCAGCUAGUUUUUGUAUUUUUAGUAGAGAUAGGGUUUUGCCAUGUUGUCCGGGCUGGUCUCAAACUCCUGACCUCAGGCGAUCCAAUGCACCUCGGCCUCCCAAAGUGCUGAGAUUACAGGUGUGAGCCACCGCGCCCGGCCUUGCCACGUACUGUAAAAUACCCAGAUCUCUUGUGAGCUCACUCAUCACCAUGGGGAUGGUACUAAACCAUUCAUGAGGGGUCCAUCCCCAAGAUCCUAACACCUCCCACCAAGUCCGGCCUCCAACACUGGGGAUUCCAUUUCAACAUGAGAUUUGGUGGGGACACAGAUCCAAACCAUAGUAUCAUCCUUCCCAAACAGUCAACCCAGGGAAUCACAGAGAUCAGCGCCAGCAUCAAGCCUUGGAAAACACAGGGGUGGGAUAUGGGAGGGUGAUUCCUAAACAUUAUCCUUUGAUUCACAUGAUUAAUCUAUGCAGGAGCUUAUGGAUCUUGGAAGACAGAAGUAAGAAAUGGUGAUACUGGCCGGGCUCAGUGGCUCACGGCUGUGAUCCCAGCACUUUGGGAGGCCAAGGAGGGCGGAUCACGAGGUCAGGAGAUCAAGACCACGGUGAAACCCCGUCUCUACUAAAAAUACAAAAAAUUAGCCGGGCGUGGUGGUGGGCACCUGUAGUCCCAGGUACUUGGGAGGCUGAGGCAGGAGAAUGGCGUGAACCCGGGAGGCAGAGCUUGCAGUGAGCAGAGAUGGCGCCAUUGCACUCCAGCCUCGGAGACAGAGCGAGACUCCGUCUCAAAAAAAAAAAAAAAAAAAUGGUGAUACCCUCGGAAGUGGCUGGUCUUCUCAGGGUAAGGUCUCCUUCAGCAAAUCAGCACAGCCCCUGGCACCUGAUAUUCAGCUAAUGAACUGGAAAAGGCGUUUUGCCUAUAGAAGUUAGCCUGAAUGAAGAGUGUUCUUUACUCCAACAGUGACAGAAGGUCAGUGUGAUUCCCUUUAGACUGUCUGGGACCUCGGUCAUCUUAUCAACCCAUAAGACAUCACGCUGUUCCCCCUCACUCCUGGAUAGCAAUUUAUCCUCACUGGAAUGGACACUUACAGGUGUUUAUUAAUUUCUCAGUGAUUUGUUGAAUGAAUGAAGGAAUGAAUGAAUGAAUGAUGUCUUUACCUUGAGAUUGGAGUUCUUUCAGAUUUGCUCUCUGCCCACCUCACCAGCCUCUUCUCCUAUCUUUACUCCAGCUACACAGAUGUCCGUGCAUGUUUUUCUUAGCACUCCAGGUGGAUUCAAACCUCAGGGCCUUUGCACACACUGUUCCCUCUGCCUGGUAAAAUAUUUCUCCACCAGCCAGGGCCUACUUCUCUUUCUACUUCUGGUUGACCCCAGAUACAGUUGGCCACUCCCUCCUAUGUUUGGAGCCAAACUAAACAAAUCUCUUAUUAUAAUACUCAUCACAUUGUCUGUGGCUUUGCCUAUUUUUCCUUUCUUUUAUCAGAGUGGAAGAAGCUUCUUUGGGUAGAGACAAGUCUAUUCAUCUUGGGGGACAUCAGGCCAACUCCACACCGAAGGCUGAUGAAACUUCAGGCAAUAUCCCUUCAUCUGAAUCUGAUGACGUGUGUCACGUUUUCCAGGUCCACACUCAGGGAUCUGGUCUGCGUUUUCAUGUAAGCUUUCUCCACUCUCACUUUCCCUGGACUCUCAUCCAGGAUUAGAUUUUUUUUUUUCUUUUAAAUGGAAUCUCAUUCUGUCACCCAGGCUGGAGUGCAGUGGCACCGUCUCGGCUCACUGCAACCUCUGCCUCCUGGGUUCAAGCGAUUCUCCUGCCUUGGCCACCACGCCUGGCUAAUUUUUGUAUUUUUAGUAGAGACGAGGUUUUGCCAUGUUGACUACGCUGUUCUCGAACUCCUGACUUCAUGUGAUCCACCCGCGUCAGCCUCCCAAACUGCUGGGAUUACAAGCAUGAGCCACCACGCCUGCCGCGAUUAGAUCAUUGAUCUCAUUGCAGGUGAACCAGUCCAGACCCCCAUCCAGGUUUUCCAGCUUGCUCGCUCCUCACGCUGUGGCUGUGUCCUGUGUUGCCGUGUUUCCGCUGAAUCCAGCCCUUGUUUUCGCUCUUCCUGGCCUUGCGGGCAGCCAGGAUUGAAAGAUCCAGGAAGUGACAGGGGCCUGACUCAUCAACUUGUAAGAGAGCUGGGGUUCUCCUAGAUCCAUGCUCGCACUGAGCCACAUCUGGGGCUCCGUCCCUGCAGCCAAGGCUCCCUGGCGCUGUCCUUGGUGCUGACGCGGUUCUGGAAGUGCGGUGCCAGGGUGGCUGGUGCGGCUCCCGAUGGAAAAGCCCCACCAACCCCACAAAGCAGACUCGGGAGAGAACACGCCACCGUCUUUAGCGAAUCUUACCAACCCAGGGCCAAAGCGCCCUGCACCCCAGAGCAGCACUCGUGGUGGGAACACAGGCUGAUGUAAUAAACAGAAAAGUGACUGCGGGGGAUGGGGAAGGCGGGAUGUCCUUAGCGUCCCAUGGAAAAAACAUAUUUCCUCCAGAUGGGAUCAUCGAUAACUUUUUUGAGUCUUGAGUAAAUAACUUCGGGCGGGGCGCGGUGGCUCACGCCUGUAAUCCCAGCACUUUGGGAGGCCGAGGCGGGUGGAUCACUUUAGGUCAGGAAUUCGAGACCAGUGCGGCCAAUAUGGUUCUGAAAAUCCCGUCUCUACUAAAAAGACAAAAAUUAGCCAGGCGUGGUGGCAGGCUCCUGUAAUCCCAGCUACUCGGGAGGCUGAGGCAGGAGAAUAGCUUGAACCCGGAGGUGGAGGCUGCGGUGAGUCAAGAUCGUGCCACUGCACUCCAGCCUGGGCGACAGAGCGAGACUCCGUCUCAAAAAAAGAAAAAACAAAAACAAAACAAAACAAAACAAAAACUAUGAGAAAAUUCCAUCCCCCAUUGUUCGGAACCCAGGAAUCUGGGCGCUGUGUGGUUUUCCAUAAAAACUGGUAUAUUCGUUUGCUAGGGCUACUACAACAAAGAGCAUAGACUAGGUGACCCAAACAGCAGAGAUUUGUUUUCCCACCGUUCUGGAGGCUGGAGGUCCAAGAUGAAAAUGUGGGCAGGGUUGGUUCCUCCUGAGGCCUCUUUCUCCUUGGCUUGCAAAUGGCCGUGUUCUCCCUUGUCCUCCAUGUGUCUGUGUCCUAACCUCCUCUUCUGAUAAGGACACCAGUCAGGUUGGAUUAUGGCCCACCUUAGUGUGACUUUU